AGCCAGCUUGUACAGGUGUCUGACGUGGCUGUGUGUGUGUCUUCUCACCAACUGUUGUACAGUGUUGCUGAUAUCUCCUCCCAGAGAGAUAGCCAGCUUGUACAGGUGUCUGACGUGGCUGUGUGUGUCUUCUCACCAACUGUUGUACAGUGUUGCUGAUAUCUCCUCCCAGAGAGAUAGCCAGCUUGUACAGGUGUCUGACGUGGCUGUGUGUGUCUUCUCACCAACUGUUGUACAGUGUUGCUGAUAUCUCCUCCCAGAGAGAUAGCCAGCUUGUACAGGUGUCUGACGUGGCUGUGUGUGUCUUCUCACCAACUGUUGUACAGUGUUGCUGAUAUCUCCUCCCAGAGAGAUAGCCAGCUUGUACAGGUGUCUGACGUGGCUGUGUGUGUCUUCUCACCAACUGUUGUACAGUGUUGCUGAUAUCUCCUCCCAGAGAGAUAGCCAGCUUGUACAGGUGUCUGACGUGGCUGUGUGUG